GCCGACUACGCCAGACACACUUGCUGAUUUGCUCAGAAGUUCUAACCGCGCAAACAAAACUAGCGCGCACGCGCUUGCUCAGUAAUCAUCGAGACUUAAGUUUGUUUUCGCGUUCUUGUCUCUAUCAAGAGGAAGACCUUUGAAUCGUCCACGAAGGUUUUCGUGCGUCUCUGUGCGAAUUUGACGAAAGUUCAUAAAACAAGACAUAUAUAAUCGUGGAAAAAAAAAACGACGGCGAGGGAUAGACGUGACGGUGUUGGGUGUAAUAUUCAAAUACAUAUAGAGGUUUUCAAACUCUGGGUGUAGCUGUGUACAGCAUCACUGAUGGCAUUGUUAAUAUACUGACCUUGCCGGUGGUAAGACAAUGUGACCUGUGAGAAUGAUUAUACUUUUAAGAGAACAAACAAUUGAAGAAGACAUGUACAAAUUAGCUCAAGAAGAAGUAAAAUUGAAUUUAGAAUAGAAAAUAUCUGGUAAUGAAGAAGGUGGAAAUGUAAAAGAAACAGAUAUAUGAAAAUGACAAAGAAAAUGGGUUUGAUGAUUAACAGUGUUUAGUGUAGAAAUAAUAUUUAUUUCAUAUACAUUUACUUAAUUUUUCUUUGUAUUCUAUUAAUGAAAGUCUACAUGGUAGCACAAAUUAUCAUGUGAAAUAUUUUGUUUAUGAUGUAUUUAAUGAAUGAUUGUCAUUUUUGUAAUAUUGGUUUUAAAUAUUAACUCUAGUUGUCUUUCUUUAAAUUCUGUAAAAAUUGUUAUUAAAAUAUAAAUAUUAUCAUGGGUGUAAUAUUAUCAGUUCUUGUUAAAAAUAUUAAUUAGUUUUUUUAAAUAAGAAAAGAUAGUAUAAUUAUGGUCUAAAAUAUAAACAUUCUUUAUACUUUUAGAUUUUAACUUGAUUUUUAAGUUUGGUUUAAUUUAAAAGCUAUGACUCAAAUCAUAUAUUGAUAGAAAGUUUCCGAUAUUGUAUGAAGUUUUAUUAUAUCUAAAUUUGAAACAAUCAUCACGCAAUAAUUUAAAAAUUAAAAUUUAAUUAAAAUGGCUUCAUCAGAACGGGCCAUAUAAUGCCGGAGAGCCGUUGGGGAUAUCAUCAUUUUGUUGUAUAG